rnacentral:rRNA from 1 species
AUUGAACGCUGGCGGCAUGCCUUACACAUGCAAGUCGAACGGUAACGGGCCUUCGGGUGCCGACGAGUGGCGAACGGGUGCGUAAUACAUCGGAACGUGCCCGAUCGUGGGGGAUAACGAGGCGAAAGCUUUGCUAAUACCGCAUACGAUCUACGGAUGGAAGCAGGGGACCGCAAGGCCUUGCGCGGACGGAGCGGCCGAUGGCAGAUUAGGUAGUUGGUGGGAUAAAAGCUUACCAAGCCGACGAUCUGUAGCUGGUCUGAGAGGAUGAUCAGCCACACUGGGACUGAGACACGGCCCAGACUCCUACGGGAGGCAGCAGUGGGGAAUUUUGGACAAUGGGCGCAAGCCUGAUCCAGCCAUGCCGCGUGCAGGAUGAAGGCCUUCGGGUUGUAAACUGCUUUUGUACGGAACGAAAAGCCUUCUUUUAAUACAGGAGGGUCAUGACGGUACCGUAAGAAUAAGCACCGGCUAACUACGUG